UAUUUCCAUCAGUUUACACACUUCUGCUACUCCUUUAGCUAGUAUGCAUUUUUUACAUCCUCUUAGUUUAUCGUGUGUGUGCUCUGUUAAGUGAUUCCAUGGUUUUUGAGUUUGGUGGUUUAAUUUCUUGUUCUUUUUCUAUAUGUUAUCUUUCCUCUUUGGUCAAAUUUAAUUAUGAUAGUUUCUAUUCUGUGUCAUUUGGCAUGUUGGGAUCUGUAUAUGUUUUUACUUGAGCUUCAAUUUGGUGAUGCAUGAUAUAUGAAUGUACAUAUAAAUUGAAAUUGCGAUUUUUUGGUUCUUUUCGGGGUGAGGAAAUUAGCGCCUGUGAGGUUUGCUACUUGAAGAAAUCAACUUUUGGCUUCACGUGUGUUAUUACUUUGAACAGCUGGGAAUUCAUUAUUAAUUUGUAUCACCUUUUUUUAAAGGGUUUACUCUUUUCCGACUGUUGUGCUUGUAAGUGUUGUCGUUCUCCUUCUACUUAUUUCUACGUCUUUGAAUUUUUUCUAUUGUAUUUUCCUUCUGAUCUUCUGUUUUUUUCACCAUGUGUGUAGUCUUUAAAUAGCGUAAUGACUUUUUAUUUUGCAAUAAUUUUAUAUCUAUAUUUUUUCCAAGUUGAGACAAUCUUAGCUAUUGAUAGUGUCUAUGAGACUUUACCUUGAAGACUAAAGCUUAAAGGAUCACCUUAGUGUUUUGAUGAAUUGCGCAACCAAUUUUUCAUGUAUCUCAGGGAGAAUUCUUCUAUUGUGACUACCAUUCAGGUUAGUGCAAGUUAGAACUUGCUAGCCAAAUACAAGCUAACAUCAUUUCUUACCCUUAUGCUAUCCGUGGAUCAAUUGAAAAAAAAUCAUAUUAGCCACGUUAUAUUAUAUAUAGAGGGUUCACACAAGAAAAGAAGUUGAUGUAUUAAUGAUUCACCUUUCCAAUAACCGUACUUUCUCUAGGUAAAUAAUUGGUUACUUGGGGAAAGACUAGAAUAUUUUCUUGCUAAACAGUUUUUCGAAUCAAGUGAUGAGGCCUCAUUCCCAAAAAAGAGUCUGAAGUAGUGACGACUUUAAAUAAAAUGAUUGCAUAUUUAUUAUAGACACAGAGUAGCUAUUGAAUGUGUAUUUUCUUUUUUUUAAUUCUGUGAUAACAUUGGCAAUACAUAUGUAUGUGAAAGUAGAAGUAUCUACUUUUGCUCUUUGACUAUUUGCGGAAAUUCUUCAGCAACGCAGCCUUUUCAAAUUUAAUUUUUUUAUAUAGCUUCUUAAUUUUUUUAUUAUCUACUGAUGUGUUAUGUUUUUGAUAAUUCUUGAAUUUUGAUGCUUGCUUUUGGAAGGAGCCAUUUAUUUCCAAACGUAGUUGUUGCCUUACUAACUUUUCUCCUCUAAUACAUCUGCUCGUCCGUUGCUUUUCUAUGGUUCAAGCUUAUCCAUGGGCGGAGGUACACCUUGCGUAAGCUGGUCAGAUGAACAACCUUCAUCGAAAAUAUUUUGCGAGUAUAUAUGUUAAAUAUCGAUAUUAUAUGAUAUAUACAAACUAUUGAACAUUGUUAACAUACUAAUAAAAGAUAGCCUAGUUGUUAAGUGUGUGCAUUUUCGCAUGAAGGACUUGGGUUCGAACCUCAACAAUGGCAUUUUUUUUUAUCUUUCUGAUUCCGUUUUGUUUUUAAUUUUUUUUUGAUCUUUGUGAUUCCGUUUUGUUUUUAAAAAAAGGAACAGAACUUUUGAUGAAAUCAGUUCCACUUUUUCUUUAUUUAAAAAACAAAAAGUCCUAUUUUGACUUUUUUAAAUUAAAAAAUAAUCUACCCACUUAGUCAUUAAACAAAUCCUUUACCCUUUAGUUUUUCAUCCUCUUCUUCAAAAUUCUCCCAUACUUCUUCUCUUCUUCAAAAAGAGAAGCAAAAAUCCUCUUCUCUUUACCCUUCUGUCUUCUCAAAUCUUAAUUUCUCAUACCCCUUUUCAAGUUUUAAGAAGUCGAAGACCAUCAAGAACUAUUAUAUUUUUUCCCUCAAAAAUUAUUGUAGUGAGAAAAGGGUACCCAAAACAAAUACGGUGUCUUAAAAUCAAAAUCAACUAUGCUGAGAUGAAAAUAUCGACCAAAUAGAAAUACCAUGUCACUCUUCUCAUAUACAGGAAUUUGAUAUGAAUGAUCUAAAGGUUGAUCCGGUUGAAAGAACUCCAAUAUUGAGUUACCAUCCAAAUAUUCGUGAUAAAGAGGGAAUACAUUAUAAAAGUUAAAGGAGAAAGCAUUCAUCAAGGUGGUGGUAAUGUAUUUUCGACAAAAGGGUUCAGAAAUUGGUAUAGAAAAGAUGGUUUUGCUACAGUGUUGGUCCACCAAAUAGUGUUCAUAAUCAAUCCAAAAGAAAGUGAAAAGAUCUAAUGUGAGAACAACAAUCCAUUCAAGCCGCAUUUUACAAGUUGGAUGAUAAAGGUAUGCAUGAAUAUCGGGUUUGCUUCAAUGCUUCAAUCGAUGUGGGAAAGAAUAUGAACAACUUGGAGCACUAUAGAGAGAUCAAUAAUUUAACCUAGAGUCUGAGGAUAAGGGACCGGCGUUCUUCUUCAUUCUCCUCCACAUGGCUAGUAGAGAUCGUUGAAGGAUACUUUUGGGUGAGUUCCCAUGUUUUAAAAACAAUAUUCCUUUGUCUUUUUAUCUUAUUAAACGUUGAGACUUCUAGACAUUAUAUUUUGACUUUUGUUUUAUAUUAAUUGAAGGUGAGCUAGGGACAUGUCUUAGCCCCUGCCAAGUCUAUAAUAUAGAGGUAUUGUUGGACAUGUAUAAGUAAGGUUUGACUAAUUUGGUUCUUAUUUAAAUA